GGGCGUCUAGUCCAAAUGGUAAAAACGCUCGCGUAGCAUGCGAGAGACACUGGGAUCGAUACCCCGGUCGUCUA